UGAAAGUUUGGCUCUGGCUUAUCAAUAUAACAAAAACUAAAAAAUACACAUGGUUUUUAUAGAAAGAGGUGAGAAUAAAGAAUUUAAAUAACUAUAUAAAAUAUAUAAUUUAAUUAUUUUCUUAAUGGUAUUAUAAACUACAUCAUGCUUUGAUAUAUCCCACUAACACCAGUGAUUAAGGUUAAACAAAAAGUGUCAACUUGUUUUAAUUUAGUUUUUAGAACUGGUUAACUUGGUGCCAGCAUCCGCGGUUAUACCAAGAUGUUCAAGUUAUAUUUUAUAGGUAAAAAGACAAUUAAAUAAUUUUAAUGAAGUCAUUUAAUCUUUUAUUAAAAAGUAAAAUUUGAAUAUAAAAAGAAAAAUUAUAAGUGUCUUAAAAUAUUGAAUUUGUGAAAGUCUUGAGGGAAACUGGGAUUAGAUACCCCAUUAUUCUUGAUUAUAAAUUGAUUUUAAUUUACCAGAGUACUAUGAAUAUUUCAGAUUUAAAACUCAAAGGGCUUGGCGGUGUUUUAGACCUUUUAGGGGAACCUGUCCCGUAAUCGACAAUCCACGUUAAACCUAACCUUAUACUUGUUUUACAGUAUGUAUACCGUCGUCGACAGGUAACUUUUAAAAAUUUAGCAGUUAGCAACUUAAAUUAAUUAAAUUAGUACGUCAGAUCAAGGUGCAGCCUAUGUUAAGGAGAGGAUGGGUUACAUUUAAUAAUUAUAAAACGAAUAAAGAAAUGAAAAAGUUCUUUUUAAGGCGGACUUAAAAGUAAUAAAGAUUUAUAAAAAUCUUUUGAAUAAGGCUCUGAAACGUGCACACAUCGCCCGUCGCUCUCGUUGAAAAAUGAGAUAAGUCGUAACACAGUAGGGGUAAUGGAAAUUGUUCCUGGUUGAAA
rnacentral:ncRNA from 1 species